CAGUUAUCUUCCUCAUCCCAUUGGAUGAAGGAGGUGACAAUUCAUGCGACCGUUACCGGUGACGCGUUCCGACUCGCAGUUUGAUUGGCCAUCGAUGCCUGUCAGUCACCUACAAAUAGUUAGGUUACGUUGUGUGUUGUGACAUACGCUAUACUCUGCGCUGACAUGACAUGAGGGAAGGUUGAGUGUUCUUGUGCGACACGCAAAAAUCUUCGACACAGAUGCAGUUGGAGGAUGGCUAGCAAAUCAAGUGUGCGGAAAGUUCGGAAUGAGGAUAUCAACCCAUGCAUUGAGGAGAGUGAUGGUUCUCAGAAAUGUUUGGAUGCAUACAACUAUGACAAGAGCAAGUGUUCUGCAUACUUCAUGAGGUAUAAAAACUGCAGGAAGUACUGGCAAUAAUUGGCCAAGUGUCUCCUUGAAAAAAAGACCAAACUUCAGUCUGUGAUCCAAAGCAUUCAAAUUUCAUUCUCAGGUCUAUGCUCAAAAAGUGAUUAACAGCAUGCUGUGAUGCUGCAGCGGAGGCGUGACGGAGUGAAGCCGGAUAUGCCGACCGCUGAGGAGCGAGAGCAGAUCCUCACAGCCCUCGGAGGGAAGCCCUACUGACUAAACACUUUGAUCCAUCCUUCUGGAUUCAGUUCUGUGGGGAAAGAGGACAAUCUAAUGUGUGACUGUAUAAUUUGAGCAAUUCUGUAAUUCUCUGUAUGAUACUGUAAUUACAGCCUAAUUUAAUGUGUGUUCAGUUAUUCAAAAGUGAACACAUUUUGAAUAUGA